rnacentral:rRNA from 1 species
GAUGAACGCUAGCGGGAGGCUUAACACAUGCAAGUCGAGGGGUAUAGUAGCAAUACUAGAGACCGGCGCACGGGUGAGUAACGCGUAUGCAACCUGCCCUUUACUGGGGGAUAGCCCGUAGAAAUGCGGAUUAAUACCCCAUAGUACUAUGAGAUCGCAUGGUUUUAUAGUUAAAGUUUCGGUGGUAAAGGAUGGGCAUGCGUGACAUUAGCUAGUUGGUAGGGUAACGGCCUACCAAGGCUGCGAUGUCUAGGGGUUCUGAGAGGAAGAUCCCCCACACUGGUACUGAGACACGGACCAGACUCCUACGGGAGGCAGCAGUGAGGAAUAUUGGUCAAUGGGCGUAAGCCUGAACCAGCCAUCCCGCGUGCAGGAAGACGGCCCU